UGCCGAAGUGGCGGAACUGGCAGACGCACAGGACUUAAAAUCCUGCGAAACUUAUACUUUCGUACCGGUUCGAUUCCGGUCUUCGGCACCAU
rnacentral:tRNA from 1 species